rnacentral:rRNA from 1 species
GACGAACGCUGGCGGCGUGCUUAACACAUGCAAGUCGAACGAAGUGGCGAACGGGUGAGUAACGCGUAAUCAACCUGCCCUUCAGUGGGGGACAACAGUUGGAACCGACUGCUAAUACCUCAUACUGAUGGCGGGGAUUGCGUCUGAUUAGCUAGUUGGAGUGGUAACGGCCCACCAAGACGAUGAUCAGUAGCCGGUCUGAGAGGAUGAACGGCCACAUUGGGACUGAGACACGGCCCAGACGCCUACGGGAGGCAGCAGUGGGGAAUCUUCCGCAAUGGACGAAAGUCUGACGGAGCAACGCCGCGUGAGUGAUGAUGGCCUUCGGGUUGUAAAGCUCUGUUAAUCGGGACGCGGUACCGGAAUAGAAAGCCACGGCUAACUACGUGCCAGCCGCCGCGGUAAUUC